GAUGAACGCUGGCGGCGUGCCUAAUACAUGCGAGUCGAGCGAACAGAUAAGGAGCUUGCUCCUUUGACGUUAGCGGCGGACGGGUGAGUAACACGUGGGUAACCUACCUAUAAGACUGGGAUAACUUCGGGAAACCGGAGCUAAUACCGGAUAACAUUUGGAACCGCAUGGUUCUAAAGUGAAAGAUGGUUUUGCUAUCACUUAUAGAUGGACCCGCGCCGUAUUAGCUAGUUGGUAAGGUAACGGCUUACCAAGGCGACGAUACGUAGCCGACCUGAGAGGGUGAUCGGCCACACUGGAACUGAGACACGGUCCAGACUCCUACGGGAGGCAGCAGUAGGGAAUCUUCCGCAAUGGGCGAAAGCCUGACGGCGCAACGCCGCGUGAGUGAUGAAGGGUUUCGGCUCGUAAAACUCUGUUAUUAGGGAAGAACAAAUGUGUAAGUAACUGUGCACGUCUUGACGGUACCUAAUCAGAAAGCCACGGCUAACUACGUG
rnacentral:rRNA from 1 species